rnacentral:rRNA from 1 species
CUUGCUCCCUGGGGCUACCCUACUUCGGUAAGGUUUAGAGUCGUCGGGCCUCUCGAAGAAGCUCGGUCCUGAACUCCACCCUUGAAUAAAUUACCUUUGUUGCUUUGGCGGGCCGCCUCGUGCCAGCGGCUUCGGCUGUUGCGUGCCCGCCAGAGGACCACAACUCUUGUUUUUAGUGAUGUCUGAGUACUAUAUAAUAGUUAAAACUUUCAACAACGGAUCUCUUGGUUCUGGCAUCGAUGAAGAACGCAGCGAAAUGCGAUAAGUAAUGUGAAUUGCAGAAUUCAGUGAAUCAUCGAAUCUUUGAACGCACAUUGCGCCCUCUGGUAUUCCGGGGGGCAUGCCUGUUCGAGCGUCAUUAUAACCACUCAAGCUCUCGCUUGGUAUUGGGGUUCGCGGUCUCGCGGCCCCUAAAAUCAGUGGCGGUGCCUGUCGGCUCUACGCGUAGUAAUACUCCUCGCGAUUGAGUCCGGUAGGUUUACUUGCCAGCAACCCCUAAUUUUUACAGGUUGACCUCGGAUCA